rnacentral:lncRNA from 1 species
GCUGCAGGGAACAGAGGCCAGCUUUGCUCUCAUACCACGCACACUGUAAUCUCAAGCCAGCUAGCCAGCCAGGCCCUGCUCUCAGAGGUCAGGAGGAUAUUCCACGUCGAGUCACAUCAGGAAGGGCACUGCUUGGCGGCCCCGGGCCAGAACUCCUACCUCAGGAGCAAUCACAGGAUGACUGGCAGCACCUACUGCAGAAAGCCAGUGGGGGUUGGGGGAUUUGGGGGGUCGGGGAGGGCAGAACUGGAGCAGUGGGGAAAUGAAUGUGUCUACCCUGCAGCUGGUGAGGAGUACUAGGUCUGCUUCACACAGAAGUGAACUGUCAAUCUCCUGCUUUAUUCCAGUUGCUACACAAACUGCCUGAAAUGCCUCACUGUGCAGAAACCUGGAAUGGAGCUCCCCGUCCGCCCUCUCCUCCAUCCCUAGCCAGGCCCAUGUGAACAGCAGGCUACUGUUGAGAAGUGUCGGCUGCAGACAUUCUCACACACCCACACACCUGCUGACAGCUGCCAGGGUUGUCAAUAGAGCUUGUGUCUAAGCUCUGGUGGCCAGGCCAAGCCCACAGAACAGACUAAGGGUUCUCUCUUGUCACAAAGCAGCCAAGCACCACAGAAAAGGAUUUUGUACAGAAGCCACAUUCCUUAUGCCUGUCCCCUUGACCAGACAAUCCUGUCCUUGCAGUCUCAUCCUUUCAAGAUGACCUGGAGGGCUUUAAGCUCAUCCUGGUUGAGGGGGUUCAGGUUAAAACCCUUUAGCUCCGGUUUUCCUGCAAGAAGAGGCGGUUAACUUUCACUUUCAGUUGGCUCCGCAGCCUUUCUAUUUCUUUAUCCAGGACACCUUACCUUUCUGGAUCAUUUCCUUCGUCUUAAGGUGAGGCAUUUUGAUGAACAUGUUCCCAAAGCAAACCAUCACAGACACUCGGGUCUUUCUGUAGGGCCCUCAGGCCCUCUCGGUUCUGAUUCCUCUUGGUGUCCAGGUCUACAAUCUGCCGCUUGUCUGAGAGCACUGCCUCUGCCAGCUCCUCCACUUCGACCAGGUACCGCAGCACUCGAUCCGCCUCGGGGGACACCAUGGUGCCACAGACCUCUUCCGACACUCGCACUACUACUUCACCCCAGCUCCUUC